AAGGGUAUAACUCUGUGGUAGAGUGUGUGCUUAGUGUGCACGAGGUCCUGGGUUCAAUCUCCAGUACCUCCA
rfam:Camelus ferus unplaced genomic scaffold scaffold1596, whole genome shotgun sequence.